UUACUUUCCUCGGCAGUACAUGGAGUAACACUGGAGCGAUACAGAGAAGAGCAGCAUGGCCCCUCCUCAAGGAUGACACGCAAAAUUGUGAAGCGUUCCACAUUUUA